rnacentral:rRNA from 1 species
AUACGUAGGUGGCAAGCGUUGUCCGGAAUUAUUGGGCGUAAAGCGCAUGUAGGCGGUUUGGUAAGUCGGUCGUGAAAAUGCGGUGCCUAACGCCGUAUUGCGAUCGAAACUGCUGAACUUGAGUGCAGGAGAGGCAAGGGGAACUCCCAGUGUAGCGGUGAAAUGCGUAGAUAUUGGGAAGAACACCGGUGGCGAAGGCGCCUUUCUGGACUGUGUCUGACGCUCAGAUGCGAAAGCCAGGGUAGCGAACGGGAUUAGAUACCCCGGUAGUCCUGGCCGUAAACGAUGGGUACUAGGUGUGGGAGGUAUCGACUCCUUCCGUGCCGGAGUUAACGCAAUAAGUACCCCGCCUGGGGAGUACGGCCGCAAGGCUUAAACUCAAAGGAAUUGACGGGG